UUUCUUCAUCGGCCCCUUCUUCUUUUUCUUGAACAUGGCUUUUCUUGCAGAGUCAUUAGUGAUAUAGACAAGCUUAACCUUCUUUCUAGUCAUGAUGUUUGGCUAAGGAGCGAGAAGGGGUGAAUAUAGAAUGAGACAAGGGUUAAAAAGUAUUAGUAAGGGACAGGGAUUGAAAUAUUAAAUAUAUCGUGUGAGGUUUGAUGUAGUGCAUUCUAAAAUAGCAAGUGGAGUGUCGAAAUCAUCUCUAGAAAUGUUGUCUUUAAUAAAGGAUAUAGAAAAAUUUUAUGAUUUAAGGUAAUGUAAUUUACAAAAUUUAAUUAGUGAGUUGUUGCGAGGCUGCACUUAUACAAAAUAAUUUAAUCCUGACCGUCUCUUUUAAUUAAGAUCUAAUGUUUCAUUGUAGUGCAUAUAUAUAUACCUACUCUCUCCUGUAUUAUUCCAAGCCUACAUUCACACUUGAAACCAGUACAUACUUGAAACAGAUACAUGGCAACUAUACCCAUCUCCCUUUGUCAACAAAAUCACAUAUGUUAUCUCUUAAUUAUCAACUAAUAUAGCCACCACCUUCCAAAUCCAACUUAAUUA
rnacentral:lncRNA from 1 species